AUACAGAUAACCUGGGGAUCUUGUUAAAAUGUUAGUUCUGAUACAAUGGCUCUGGAUUCUUGAGAUUCUGCAUUUCUAACAAGCUCCUAUGUGAUAUGCUU
rnacentral:miRNA from 1 species